rnacentral:rRNA from 1 species
UCUGAUGGAGCAACGCCGCGUGAGUGAAGAAGGGUUUCGGCUCGUAAAGCUCUGUUGGUAGUGAAGAAAGAUAGAGGUAGUAACUGGCCUUUAUUUGACGGUAAUUACUUAGAAAGUCACGGCUAACUACGUGCCAGCAGCCGCGGUAAUACGUAGGUGGCAAGCGUUGUCCGGAUUUAUUGGGCGUAAAGCGAGUGCAGGCGGUUCAAUAAGUCUGAUGUGAAAGCCUUCGGCUCAACCGGAGAAUUGCAUCAGAAACUGUUGAACUUGAGUGCAGAAGAGGAGAGUGGAACUCCAUGUGUAGCGGUGGAAUGCGUAGAUAUAUGGGAGAACACCAGUGGCGAAGGCGGCUCUCUGGUCUGCAACUGACGCUGAGGCUCGAAAGCAUGGGUAGCGAACAGGAUUAGAUACCCUGGUAGUCCAUGCCGUAAACGAUGAGUGCUAAGUGUGGGAGGUUUCCGCCUCUCAGUGCUGCAGCUAACGCAUUAAGCACUCCGCCUGGGGAGUACGACCGCAAGGUUGAAACUCAAAGGAAUUGACGGGGGCCCGCACAAGCGGUG